rnacentral:rRNA from 1 species
UACGGAGGGUGCAAGCGUUAUCCGGAUUCACUGGGUUUAAAGGGUGCGUAGGUGGGUUGGUAAGUCAGUGGUGAAAUCUCCGGGCUUAACUCGGAAACUGCCGUUGAUACUAUCAAUCUUGAAUAUCGCGUAGGUAAGCGGAAUAUGUCAUGUAGCGGUGAAAUGCUUAGAUAUGACAUAGAACACCAAUUGCGAAGGCAGCUUACUUCACGAUCAUUGACACUGAGGCACGAAAGCGUGGGGAGCAAAUAGG